rnacentral:rRNA from 1 species
UACGAAGGGGGCUAGCGUUGCUCGGAAUUACUGGGCGUAAAGGGAGCGUAGGCGGAUAGUUUAGUCAGAGGUGAAAGCCCAGGGCUCAACCUUGGAAUUGCCUUUGAUACUGGCUAUCUUGAGUACGGAAGAGGUAUGUGGAACUCCGAGUGUAGAGGUGAAAUUCGUAGAUAUUCGGAAGAACACCAGUGGCGAAGGCGGCUCACUGGCCCGAUACUGACGCUGAGGUGCGAAAGCGUGGGGAGCAAACAGG